ensembl:lncRNA
AUUCAAAAGACCUUUGCCUUCUCUCUUAGAAUCUAUUCUAAGGAUUGGUUCCAAGGCAGAAGAUUGAUAAGAGCUAGGCAACUGGGGUGCAAUGACUUGCCCAGGGUCACACACUAGAAGUGUCUGAAAACAGAAAGAAUUUAGGGUCUCCCCAUCUCUAGACCUGGAUCUCUAUUCACUGAGCAACCUAACUGCCCCCCCCCCCAAUCCGUUAUUUCUGAGCUCAGGGUCAGGACCACUGGGAUGAGGUCUUUGUCCACGGUAGGGAUGAUCAUGGAAGGGGGAGAGAAGGAACUGGGGAAGGGAAAGCAAAGUGAUAGUGGAGGGCCAGGGAGCAGAAGGAAAGAGCUGAGAGUCACCCAAGGCUGGCCAGUGCCUCUCAGGAAAGACUCUUCCUCCUUGGAACUCAGUAGGUCAUGGCUCUUACACUCAGCUGUCUACACCUCCUUCCCCCUCUGGUGGUCAUCCACAGCCUUUCUCCCAGGUCCCCAGUCAGGCAGUGGCCUUAGGGGGUGCUCUCUGGGGAUCCUGUAGGGAUUAACCCCAGGACCUCGGUCCCAUUAGCAAGGAGCUCCCCAUCUCAGGCUGCUGCCACCGUGGCUCAGGUGCUGAGCCUCUGCAGACUCCUCCCCCAGCCUGGAAGUCUCCAGGGCUCCCGAGGCUGGAAGGCACCAUUAGAGACCCUCCAGGGGCCUUCGUCUCUGGCAUGCACUAUCAGGAGGAGACAGACAGACACAGGAACCUCGAGGCACUGGGCCCCAGCUGGGAUCAGGCUGCCAGGCCGAGGAGGGGGGCCGUGGGGACGUGGGAGAAAGGCAGGAUUAUUAGCGGGAGAAAGAACAAUGGUGUUUAUCUGAGCCUCCUCCAAGGAUCUCCAAGCACUUGGUAGACAGGCUGCUCACUCAUAAAAAGCUCCUGGGCUGGGCUGGGGGCGGGGCGAGGCGAAUGACAUCAUUCAGCGACUGGAACUCGCACCUCCCCUGUAUGCGAACACACACACCUCGACCUCCCCCCUUCGUGGCCCAGGAGGUGUUGUGGGGCCCCCCAAGGGGGAGGGAAGGUCUGGAGAUCAGGCUCCUUUUCCCGGGGCUCCCAGACACUCCCAGGCCGAGCAGGGGAAAGCUCGGAGAAGACUCGCCCCCUCCGAUCCCGAACCGUCUUCCCGGGACUUCGGGGCCCCUUCUGAGGCGGGGACCUCUCUGCCCCGCCGCAGGGCCCCCCUCGGUCCUUCCCUCUCCGGAGCCCCCAGCAUUCCCCAGCUGGGCUUCCCCUGGCUCCCGGGGAGUCCAAAGGAGCCCUGGCGAGUCCCAUCUUCGAGAGCUGACCCAGAAGCUCGUCUUCCGGAUCUCUUCCUGCUCUUGCACUGGUAGCAGAAGGAGACCCCAUCUCAGAACCCGGAGCUCCAGGACGGCCUCUGGCCUCUCUCCCGCCUCGGCAUCCCUCCCUUCAGGCAGCACAGUGAACACUGGGUUUGGCCGCCUUGUAAAAUGGGAGGAGGCCCCAGAGUCCUCCCCCCAAAGCCCUGACCUCUGUGGCCCCCUCCCUCUCUCCUCCUGCCCAGUGGGGGAGGGUCUCUGCCCAGCACGCAGACUCCGGACGCCAGGGAGUCCUCCACCUCUGGCGCUGGCCUUUGUCCCGUGUUUCAGGAAGCCAGGCCGCCCCACGCCGCCCCAAUGA